UCUCUAAAGUUGCCGCCGUUUCGAGGGCUUUCCAAUGUUGUGAGUAUAAUGAAAGCCUCGUUUUGUGUUCUUACACACCCGUCGAGGUUCUGACUGACCUCCUGUGCUUUGAAAGUUGAAGAUUGGCCUCAAUUAAGCUCAGGUAUGUUUCUAAUAUUCUGCUCUUCUGAUUUUCUGUCCUUUUCAGCUUCUAACUCAUGCUUUAUUGUUCGGCAUGAGCGGAAUUUGCCUGCAUUUCCAAGAUCUGGGGCUUUGCUUUGCUUUUCUUGAGCUCCGACAUACCUUCAUCUGAAGAGAAAGACUGUCCUGCUGAUGUUCCCUUUCUUCGACUUGUAUCUCUGAUAUGCUGCUAACUACAGUAUCCCCUGCUUCUUUGGUUCCAUCUUCUAUUCUGGAUUCAAAGCCCUGCAUUCAGCCUCCCUAUACCCUUGUAAUUUGCAGUGUUUGCAGUACUUUGAUCAAUAUGAAUCUCGACUUUUGCACAACUUGGCCUUGUCCUGUUUGCUGCCAGGUCUACUGUUGGUGGUUUCCCAACUACAGUGGCUAUUGAAAAAAUAGCUUCUUUGGCAAAAACAUUAGGAGGUAAUAUGCUGAAGUAGACAAGAAUCUCACAUAGUCCUCAAAUAAAGACAAACGGAUCAAGAUAUACCUUUCAUCAAUAAGGCCAAUCAUGGCCUUUCCUUUGAUGCCACAUUGUAUUGGCACGAUAUCUCUUAAUUGUUUUAUGUCAAUGAUGCCAUAAGAAAAUUUUCCCAGUACUGCAUAUUGUAUAUCUUCCUUUAAAAUCAUCUGUUGUAUCUCCUUUGAAUUCCAUGUAAUAUAUGGCUCUCCUUCUUUGAA